UUUCACGGUAAUUUCUACUUGCAAAAGUGUGGCAUUGCUAUGGGCACCAGGUUUGCCCCUAGCUAUGCCAACUUGUUUAUGGCACACUGGGACUCGGUCUGCUGGGCGAGGAUGGCAGUUGGGGUGCAAACCUGGUGCUCUACGAAAGAUACAUCAAUGACCUGUUAUUGAUUUGGAGAGGUGGAGAACCACUUCUCCAACAGUUCUUUAGCUAGGUAAACACUAACGAUUGGGGUAGAACUCUGUC